CCUACGGGAGGCAGCAGUGGGGAAUUUUGGACAAUGGGGGCAACCCUGAUCCAGCAAUGCCGCGUGAGUGAAGAAGGCCUUCGGGUUGUAAAGCUCUUUUGUCAGGGAAGAAACAGCAGCUCUAACACAGACUGCGAAUGACGGUACCUGAAGAAUAAGCACCGGCUAACUACGUGCCAGCAGCCGCGGUAAUACGUAGGGUGCGAGCGUUAAUCGGAAUUACUGGGCGUAAAGCGUGCGCAGGCGGUUAUACAAGACAGGCGUGAAAUCCCCGGGCUUAACCUGGGAAUGGCGUCUGUGACUGUAUAGCUAGAGUGUGUCAGAGGGGGGUGGAAUUCCACGUGUAGCAGUGAAAUGCGUAGAUAUGUGGAGGAACACCAAUGGCGAAGGCAGCCCCCUGGGAUAACACUGACGCUCAUGCACGAAAGCGUGGGGAGCAAACAGGAUUAGAUACCCUGGUAGUCCACGCCCUAAACGAUGCUGACUAGUUGUUGGGUAACUUUACAUUCUCAAGUAACGUAGCUAACGCGUGAAGUACAGCCGCCGCGGGAGGUACGGUCGGCGAGAGUAAACGUACGAAGAAGUAGAGACGUGAGAGNGCGACGGACGACGACGAGGGAGGAGG
rnacentral:rRNA from 1 species